AGACAGUUCGGUCCCUAUCCGUCGCAGGCGUAGGAAAUUUGAGAAGACCUGUCCUUAGUACGAGAGGACCGGGAUGGACGUACCUCUGGUGUACCAGUUGUCCUGCCAAGGGCAUGGCUGGGUAGCUGUGUACGGAAUGGAUAAGCGCUGAAAGCAUCUAAGCGCGAAGCCAACUUCAAGAUAAGAUUUCCCACCGCAAGGGUAAGACCCCAGAAAGACUAUCUGGUUGAUAGGUCGAAGGUGUAAGUGCAGCAA
rnacentral:rRNA from 1 species